rnacentral:rRNA from 1 species
CUCUUGGUGUAUGCUAAGUAAUUUCUGCCCUAUGAUUAAUUUAAAUGGCCGCAGUAUUUUGACUGUGCAAAGGUAGCAUAAUCACUUGUCUCUUAAUUAGAGGCUAGAAUGAAAGAGGCGACGAGAUCUAAACUAUUUAAGUUUAAAAUUAAAUUGACAGGCAUAUUAAAAGGUCUGCAUGCACCAGGGGGACGAUAAGACCCUAUAAAACUUUACUUUUUGUGGUAUAAUUGUUAGAAUUUUAUUACACGUGGGAGUUAAACUGGGGCGGUUUCUAUAUAAACAAUUGUAUAUAUAAUAUAUUAAAUAAUUGUUAAGAACUAUGUGUUAAAUAGAACAAGUUACUUUAGGGAUAACAGCGUAAUUUUCUCAGAUAGUUCUUAUUGACGGGAGAGCUUACGACCUCGAUGUUGAAUUGGGGAGUCUUGUAUAAGC